GUCUCAGAGAGCACAGAUGGAGGUCUUUCAGCUGGUGCCAUUUCUGGAAUAGUAAUCGCAUGUUUGAUUGUUGCUGCCGCUGCAGCUGCUGGAGGAUACAUUUUCUAUCAAAAGAAUGGUAGCAAACCUCAGCCAAAUGCACCAGAGCUGCCACCAAAACAAGUACAUAUUCAUCAGAACCCUCACCCAGCGUAUGUGAAACCUGAUCCAGUGUAUGAGGAACCUGAUGAAAAGUAUGAUCGAGUCUUUGAGAACCCUGAUCUAGUGUAUGAGAACUCUGAUCUAGUGUAUGAGAACCCUGAUCGAGUGUAUAUGAACAUAUAACCUCAGCGACCUCGUAAAAACUGAUGCCUGUAUUUUGCGGGAAAGCAACAAGAGGAGUGUCUCCCCACAGGAAUAACUCAAUAAUAUUAUUUAACUGCUCAGUUUGGGAGUUUUAAUCAGUUGUUUAGUUCUGUGGCAAGGUCUGUGUUUCUAAAGACAAACCCUUCAGGUAUAAGCUUUCAUGCAAACCCCUGCUCUAUGCUGCCCUCAUGUGGUAGAUCUGUGGUUGUUUUAGCAUCUGCAGGUUUGAAAUCAGAUCACUAGUAUCUGAUCUACCUAGAUGAAGUUUUGAUAUCUUUUUGAUUUCCAUUUGACCUGUAUUUGUAAAUGAUAUCACGCUUUGACUUCCUUGAUUAUUUCAUGUUUUAAAGUUUUAGCAGAGUUUAGUCAAAGAGCCAAAUCCCUUGGUGUGCUAAUCGAGGACACAUUUUGUAUGUAGCCUACAAUAAAAUGUAAACAUUAUUUGUGAAUAAAGUGACCAUGAGAACCACGA